AUUUGGUAAAGUAAAUCCGUUGGGCAUCUUUCUUCGCCUUUAGACAAUAAUUCUGAUGGCAAAAGAACCAAACGGGACAGGUUUAAAAAAAAAAGAAAGAAAAAAAAAAAAAAGGAAAGGAGGACCCAAAAUGCAGGCAGUGACUGAUGAUUCGAGUGACAUUUAUUUACAAGUGGUGGAGAGGCAAAAACAGGCAGUGAGGGAAGAGAAUGAACAGAACAAACCUAAACUGGGAAAACUAAAUAACAAACCUGAGAGGAUACCAGAAUGGGGUGAGAGGCAGAGAGACACGGACGGGGAACAGGACACCGUGGAACACAGACGAACCGGCAACAGGCAGGAGAACACACAGGGCUUAAAUACACACACCAGUAAUCAGGGAAUGAGAAACAGGAGGGCAACAAAGCUGGGAGAAAUCAGAGCUGACGGGACAGGGGAAACGUAAACUGAACACACUCACAACAGACGGAGACCUUCACAAUAAAACAGGAAACUUAAACACAGAACCAGACAAGACACUGAACUAAACAGACAGAUUCACAAACAAACAGUGUCACACCAUGGACAGACGGAGGGAACACAGAGAAGUGGGGGCAGGCAGGCAAAGAACAGAAACCUAACAAAUGGCAAAUCACAACAGAAUACAUACUCGGAAUGAACAAAAGCAUAAGGAAACACAAAACACUGAGUCGGCAGGCUCAGGACCAUGACAGUACCCCCCCCCUCAAGGGCUGGCUCCAGACAGCCCAACAGAAACACAAACACAACCAAAAAACAGAAAACGACCCGACCAGGGCGGGCGGUGGGGGUCCAGGACGGAGGGACCGAGUCCAAAAAGGCCCAGAUGGCCAAGUUCAGGGGGCCGACCCGGAGGCCGACAGCACAGGAGGCCAAAACAGUUCAGUUCCGGAGGCCGACCAUGCGAAAAGCAGCGGUAGCGGGGCAGGUCCGAAGGCGAGUCAUGCAGUAGGCAGUGGCAUGGAAACAGCUCUGGGGGCCGACCGUGCGGACGGCAAUGGCGGCGACGGGCAAACAGUUCUGGAGGCCGACCGUGCACACGGCAACGGCGGCGGCGCAGGCAAAACCAAUCAGGUGGCCGACCACUUGGAAGCCAGUGGCGGCCACAGGGCAGGUCCGGAGGUCGGCCGCGAUGCCAGCGGCGGCGACGAACUCUGUCCGGAGGCCGUCCCUGACGGCCAUGAUGCCAGCUUAGAGGCCUGGAAAACGGCCGGCUGAGGCAAGGCGGAACAGGCCGAGCUGGGUCCAAUGACAGAGUGGCAACCGCAGGACCAGACGAGGCUGAAGCUGGGCCAGGCGAAGACGAGGCUGAAGCAGACGAGGCUGAAGCUGGGCCAGGCGACAGCGUGGGUGAAGCAGACGAGGCUGAAGCUGGGCCAGGCGACGGCGUGGGUGAAGCUGAAGCUGCUGCAGGCGUGGGUGAAGCUGAAGCUGCUGCAGGCGUGGGUGAAGCUGAAGCUGCUGCAGGCGGUGCUGGAGCAGAUGAGGAGGCUGCUGCAGACGAAGCGGAUGAGGCCGCUGCAGACGAAGCAGAUGAGGCUGAAGAGGAGGCCGCUGCAGGCAACGCUGGAGCUGAUGCGGGAGCUGGACCAGACGAGGAUGAAGACACGGAGGCUGGACCAGAUGCGGAUGAGGCAGCUGAAGCGGAGGCUGGACCAGACGCGAAUGAGGCGGCUGAAGCGCAGGCUGGACCAGACGCGGAUGAGGCGGAUGAAGCGGAGGCUGGACCAGGCAAGGAUGAGGCGGAUGAAGCCGGAGCUGGACCAGGCAAGGAUGAGGCGGAUGAAGCCGGAGCUGGACCAGGCAAGGAUGAGGCGGAUGAAUCCGGAGCUGGACCAGGCAAGGAUGAGGCAGAUGACGCCGGAGCGGAGGCUGGACCAGACGCGGAUGAGGCAGCUGAAGCGGAGGCUGGACCAGGCGCGGAUGAAGCCGGAGCUGGACCAGGCGACGCUGAAGGUGAAGACACGGAGGCUGCAGCUGGAGAGGAUGAAGAGGCUGCAGUUGGCGAGGAUGAAGAGGAUGAUGAGGCUGAAGCUGGCGAGGAUGAUGAGGCUGCAGCUGGCGGCGGUGUGGAAGCCGGAGACGCUGCAGGCGACGCUGAAGCCGAUGAUGAGGCUGGACCAGGCGAAGCUGAAAGCGAAGACACGGAGGCUGCAGCUGGCGAGGAUGAAGAGGCUGCAGCUGGCGAGGAUGAAGAGGCUGCUGCUGCAGGCGGCGUGGAUGAAGCAGAUGACGAGGCAGGAAGCUGGCUAGGUUCUCCUGAACCUCCAGCUGACGAGGCAGGGGGCUGGACGGGCUCCUCGGGCCCUCCAGCAAAAACAGUCUCAGAUCCAGUAGGCACUGGGGCCCCUGGCACACACAGGACAGAACCAGCAGGUGCGGAGACCCCUGGCAGAGACAGAACAGAACCAGCGGGUGCGGAGACCUCUGGCAGGGACAGGUCAGAACCAGUAGGCGCACGGGCCUCUGGCAGGAACGGAUCAGAACCAGCAGGCUCACGGGCCUCUGGCAGGGACGGAUCAGAACCAGCAGGCGCGCGGGCCUCUGGCAGGAACAAAACAGAACCAGCAGGCGCGCGGGCCUCUGGCGGGGACAGAACAGAACCAGCAGGCUCGCGGGCCUCUGGCGGGGACAGAACAGAACCAGCAGGCGCGCGGGCCUCUGGCGGGGACAGAACAGAACCAGCAGGCACAGUGGCCUCUGGCAAACAUAUAGCAGACUGCGCAGAGCAUUGACUCUGCUUAGGCAGUGACAGCCGGGUGCAGUCCUCAGCUGGCUUCUUAACCUCCAGGGGGCCAGAGUCAGCUGGGGGCUGAAACCCAGCCUCUGGGGAGGCCCUGGAGUGCAUCUCAGUCUCAGAACUGCCCAGCUCUUGAGGAAUGUUUUCAUUAUUAUUGUUCUGGCAUAGAUCACACGUCUCCUAGGAGAGGCCGUAUCUUCUCUUGCUGAUAUAUGGUAUAACAAACACACGUAUAUCUGUUUGAGUCUAAGAGCCUUUUGUUUAGAUGGACCGCUAGACUCCUGGCACCAGCUUUGGGGAGUCUUCACGGGAUCAUAUCUCGACUCCACACACACACACACACACAAGGUAUACGUCAUAUGUUAAUGAAACUAUGCAUAUUCAUGUAACCACAAUAAAAGAGCAGUGUUACGGGAGGGCGGACGAGAGCAACUGAGGUCAAGCGAAGGAACGGCGCCUGUCCAGUUCUCUCUCCGCACGUUAAUUUGUAAAACCUGUCUGAGUGUCACUUAUUCCAAUCUGAGUUGCAUUACAGGAAAACUCCUGACAUUUUUG
ensembl:lncRNA